rnacentral:rRNA from 1 species
UACGUAGGGGGCAAGCGUUGUCCGGAAUCAUUGGGCGUAAAGAGCGCGUAGGCGGCCCAGUAAGUCCGCUCUGAAAGUCAGGGGCUCAACCCCUGGAUGCGGGUGGAUACUGCUGGGCUAGAGUCCGGAAGAGGCGAGUGGAAUUCCUGGUGUAGCGGUGAAAUGCGCAGAUAUCAGGAGGAACACCGGUGGCGAAGGCGGGUCUCUGGGCAGUAACUGACGCUGAGGAGCGAAAGCGUGGGGAGCGAACAGG